UCAGAUCCAGACUAACACGGCUAUCCCUCUGAUACUUGACACCUCAAAGAGUGCAACUGAUGAUGAGCUGCAGGUGGAGGGGUCUCACAGUUUCCUGCUCUGGGUUGAGGAAGUCAAGCAGGUCUCUCUCUGGGUUCAGUAAUGAUACAAGGUUUAUUUAUUUACCAUCAGUAGGUGAUGUCAUUUGUUUGUGUUUGAUUCAUUUAUCCUUUGUUUCUCACUGCUAGGAGGCAAAGAACAAAGAAACUUACAUACACAGACGUUGUUGCUCCAACAUUAUGGAAAGGGAGAGACUGGAUCUGAAACCUGAUAGUGGCAGAUAGUCUAGGCAUUAUGGUAACAAGAGGCUUCUCAGGCUGGCACCAAUACCCCUCAUCCCUGGCACCAUCUACAUCCCGCGUUUUGGCAAAGACGACUUCAGUACCUAAGUACCCCUCAGAGACCAUGCCAACUCCAUCUUGCUCUUUGUUUCCAGUAAUAGAAAAUUUCCCAGUACUGGAUCCUUUGGUGAGACAUACUACUUCUAGGCAUGGGUGGAUACUUUUCUGUCCCAGUGAAGGUACUUGAUUGAUUUCCAGAUGGAGCUGCAGGAGGAAGGAGAGGAGUGCCCUGGCAUUGCUCACUCCCACUGGAAGAUGCUGCUCGAGAGCUGUUAUUCCAAGUGACUGGAGGGAAAUCUGCAGCAUAUGCAGCAGAAGUAUUUCAACAAAUAGUGACCAAACAGCACAUUCAUGAGUGGAGUGGAAUAGUCUGCUAUACAGGGGGUCUGGAAAAUAUGUUCUUCCCCAUGAUAUGACAAUCUGGAGUUCCUGCCUCAGGAGAAGUUUGCAGCUAUCAGCAGCCAGGAUUGGAUCUUAAUCCAUGAUUGAAUUAACAUGAUGCUGUGUUAGCACACACAGCUUACCCUGUUACUGCUGCAUGCAAAACUCUGAAAUCUCCAGCUUUCAUACACCUCUACAUGGACUACCUCUAACUAAAAUGGACUACAUUUGGAAACAGAACAGUUUCCCAAACUCACACUACAUUUGCUGUUCACUGGCAGCUACCUAGACACAGGAGGAAUGAUUGCAGGGUGGCAAAUUCCCAACUACUCAAAGGAAAACAAGAACACCCAUAGCAAAUUUCUUUAUCUUAACUGAUAAAAUAACUGUUACAGCUGUAUUCUAAAGUUUGAAAUGCAAAUUCAUUAUUUUUAAGUUCAAAUGAUGUGGGGUAGGGAAACACACCUAGAUGCUGUAAACAAAACAAAAAAAAAUUGCCAUUAUUGGCCAAAUGCUGUUAGCUGGGAUUUACCAGUUUUGCCUUGUCACUUAACCAGAAAUUCCUCCCAUUACUGUGAUAGUAAACUUAAUUUGAAUCAUGCACUUACCAGGCUCUGGGGCAGCUUCUCUCUUCUGCAUUCUCAGUAGACUUGGCCCCAGGCUGUUUCUUGGGUGCUGGAGAGGGCUGAAAUAGCUCCUCUGAGCAGAGACUGAGAUUUUCCAGUUCAACCUGCUCCACUGCCUGCUGUGGGACUGGUAUCAUUACAAUAGUCACUUCACAAUCUUGGCUGGGAGCAGUCCCCAGGGUGAAGAUGUGUAUUCGGUGGUCAGCAGUGUUCGAUCCUGGCUCAUCAGGUCAUC